rnacentral:antisense_RNA from 1 species
GGCACUCUGGCUGGCGUUAUAGAAGUAUCCGUAGCUGUCGCCUAUCAUCUGGCUGAACAGAAGGUCCGGAUUGGGUUUGCCACC